rnacentral:rRNA from 1 species
AAUGAACGCUGGCGGCGUGCGUAACACAUGCAAGUCGAACGAGAAAUUCCGGGCUUGCUCGGGAGAGUAAAGUGGCGAACGGGUAAGUAACGCGUGGGUAACCUGCCCCUGAAUCUGGAAUAACAUCGCGAAAGCGACGCUAAUACCGGAUAUUGUCCCAGGGACUGCGGUCCUUGUGAUGAAAGAUGACCUCUUCACGAAAGUUGUCGUUCAGGGAGGGGCCCGCGUACCAUUAGCUCGUUGGUAGGGUAAUGGCCUACCAAGGCGAAGAUGGUUAGCUGGUCUGAGAGGAGGACCAGCCACACUGGCACUGAAACACGGGCCAGACUCCUACGGGAGGCAGCAGUGAGGAAUUUUGCGCAAUAGGGGAAACCCUGACGCAGCAACGCCGCGUGAGUGAAGAAGGCCUUCGGGUCGUAAAGCUCUGUCAAGUGGGAAAAAAGCUUGUUGGUGAAUAGCCAGCAGGACUGAUGGUACCAUUGAAGGAAGCACCGGCUAACUCCGUGCCAGCCGCCGCCGUAA